rnacentral:rRNA from 1 species
UACAGAGGUCUCAAGCGUUGUUCGGAUUCAUUGGGCGUAAAGGGUGCGUAGGCGGCUUGGUAAGUCGGGGGUGAAAUCUCGGGGCUUAACUCCGAAACUGCAUUCGAUACUGCCGUGAUUGAGGACUGGAGAGGAGACUGGAAUUUACGGUGUAGCGGUGAAAUGCGUAGAUAUCGUAAGGAAGACCAGUGGCGAAGGCGGGUCUCUGGCCCGGUACUGACGCUGAGGUGCGAAAGCGUGGGGAGCAAACAGG